rnacentral:rRNA from 1 species
GACGACCGCCGGCGGCGUGCUUAACACAUGCAAGUCGAACGGAAAGGCCCUGCUUUUGUGGGGUGCUCGAGUGGCGAAAGGGAGAGUAACCCGUGAGUAACCUGACCUUGACUUUGGAAUAACUUCAGGAAACUGGGGCUAAUAACGGAUAGGAGCUCCUGCUGCAUGGUGGGGGUUGGAAAGUUUCGGCGGUUGGGGAUGGACUCGCGGCUUAUCAGCUUGUUGGUGGGGUAGUGGCUACCAAGGCUUUGAAGGGUAGCCGGUCUGGGGGGGUGAACGGCCACAUUGGGACUGAGAUAGGGCCCAAACUCCUACGGGAGGCAGAAGUGGGAGAUAGUGCACAAUGGGCGGAAGCCUUAUGCAGCAACGCCGCGUGCGUGAUGACGGCCUUCGGGUUGUAAACCGCAUUCGCCUGGGACGAAGCGUGAGUGACGGUAAUGGGUAAAGAAGCACGGGCUGGCUACGUG